UAAAAGAUAAGCUAAAAAAGCUAAUGGGUUCAUACCCCAUGAAUGGGAAUUUCUCUCUUUUUA
rnacentral:tRNA from 1 species